rnacentral:misc_RNA from 1 species
UUCCUUCAAUCUCGCGGUACCGACUGUGCUGCAUCAAACACACACAAGCGUAUAAGAUCUCCCCCCCCUCCCCCAUCCGCCGGUGAUUCUGUCCCCCCACAGCACACCUUGCUGCCCAUCCAGCGCCUUGCCCAUCACCUCCCCACCUCUACGCUGUUCUCACACACGCACACUUCACAUCAGCCCCCUCUUCCUUUCUUUUCUCGCGCGCGCGGGAUUGCCUGCCUGCGUCGGUUUGUGUGUGUGCGUGACCGUGCUUUCACAGCUGAGCAACAAGGUCAACCGACGUACGCGUGCACACGCACGCAUGCACAGAAGCCGUCUGUUUUCUCCUCACUCCCUCACACACGUCACAUCUUCCCCCACUCACGCCCCUCCGCCCCCCCCCUCCCCCCAUCUGCCCCGUCACAGCGCAACGUUUCUACCCCGUCGCUUGAAUCCCUCCGAUUCGAACGCCAUCGACGACAAGCAGUCUCACCUCUCUCGCCGAUAUUCUCUCUAUCACCACCCCACCACCACCACCACCAAAUACAUACUCGUGAGUGUUUCUGCGUAUUUCUCUUGCACCCUACCCCCUCGCCACAUGUCUUGCUCUUUGUGACGCAUCGCCCUUACCUCGCCUUGCUCCCUCUCCCCCUUUUCCGCGACUCCUUUUUCUCAUCUUCUUCGUGUUCAUCCUAUCCUCAUCUCCCGUCAAUCCAUCACCCACUUCUCCUCAAGUGGUCCACACGCAGGCGUCCGUUUUUUUUUUUAAUCUGUCGUGGAAUCGAGGCCCUCUUGACGGUUUCCUUUUUUCUUCGCGUGCGCGUGCGUGCGCGUGCGUGCGCGUCGCUCGCCACCGGCGCUGCGCUCUCUCUUGUUGUUAUGUUUGCAAGUAACUAUCUAUCUAUAUAGAUAGAUAGGCUACCUUUUUUCCUUCCUUCGCUUGCGUACGUGCGUGUCAAUCUCUGUGUUUGUGUGUGGGUGUGCAUGAACUCGGUGAAGCACACCUACAGGAUUGCCCUUUGCCCUCACUCACACACGCACGCACACAAACAUCUCCACCACCCUCCCCUUCAACCCUUCUUCCUCAAAGACGUCCCUGUCGUUUCUCUCCCUCUCCCCCUCUUCUUCCCUUUUUCUUGUCUGUGUGCGUGCGCUCGUUUUCGAUUCCGGUGAAGUCACACGUCACCGACUUGCGCUCCCCUCCACCCCUGGCCGUCCGCCGUCUCUCGUCUAUCCACCACCCUUUUUCGAAUCUGCGUCAUGUUCCACAUCUCUCGUGCAGUGCGCUGCAACGCACUCGCCACCGCCAUCGCUGGCCGUACCUCGCUAAGUGAUGCGAUACGCCAGGUGCAGAAGGUGUGGAACCUUGACUUCAAGGAUGGACCGGUGACCACGAGCACGCUGACGUUCAAUGACGAGCCUGACCCGGCUGCGCCGAUCUUCCAUGUGCUCGAUUUGCAAGGCGGCGUCUUUGUGGAGGAAAAGGCAGACAGCGGAGCUGCUGCAGCAACGCCUUCAACCGUCAAUGAGGUUGGCAAAACUGAGCUGCAGAGCGCCGAGCUUGGGCAGGUAUUUCGCUACCAUGCAAAGGAUGAGACGAGCGUCAUCACUCGCGAGGUGGCGGAGCGCAUGAUGUCGGCGAUGCUGACGCACAACACCAUAGACAAGAUAAUGCUAGAGGCGCAGCGGCAAGGCCGCAUCUCCUUCUACAUGACGAUGUUUGGCGAGGAGGCUGCCGUGAUCGGCGCGGCGGCUGGGCUGGCCAGCAACGACGAGCUCUUCGCGCAAUACAGAGAGGCGGGUAUUCUGACGUACCGCGGCUACACUAUACCCGAGUUUAUCGCGCAGUGCAUGGGCAACUGUGAGUGCGAUUUGAAGGGCCGUCAGAUGCCUAUCCACUACGGCAGCAAGCGUCUGAAUGCGCAGAUGGUCAGCUCCCCGCUCGCCACGCAGAUCCCUCACGGCGCCGGCGCCGGCUACGCGUUUCGGCUAGAAAACCAGGCGCUGGAGAGGAGGCUGCCGACUGGCACGCUGCUGUCGACGAUUCCGGAGGCGCGCAUCUGUGCCACCUUCUUCGGCGAGGGAGCCGCGAGCGAGGGCGACUUCCACGCUGGGCUGAACUUCGCUAGCACCGUCGGCUCGCACACCCUCUUCUUUGUGCGCAACAAUGGUUACGCCAUCUCGACCCCGACCCACAGCCAGUACAUGGGCGACGGCAUCUUGAGCCGUGCGGUAGGCUACGGCAUGCCGGCCGCCAGAGUCGACGGCCUCGACGCGCUGGCGGUUUACCAUACCGUGCGCAAGGCACGUGAAAUGAUCCUGAACAACCACCGGCCCGUCCUGGUGGAGGCACUGACGUACCGCCUCUCGCACCACUCAACCUCGGACGACAGUACCGCGUACCGCUCGCGGGACGAGAUCGAGCACUUCGCAGAGACCUUUAGCCCCAUCGAGCGCUUUGAGCGCUUCAUGGCAGAGCGUGGCUGGUGGACGCCCGAGCAGUCGACGGAGGUUGUCGAGAGGACCCGCAGAGAGGUGCUUAGCGAGCUGCGUCGGCAGGAGAAGCUGCCUGCAUGGCCAGUAUCGACCCUGUGCGAUGACGUCUUUGAGCACCUGACGCCAGAGCUGGAGCGGCAGAGGGCGCAGCUGGUGGAGCACUACCAGGCGCACCGGUCUAUCUACGAUCAGGAGAAGCUUUAGUGCCGCCGCGAGGGCCGCAGACGCACGCGAAAGGAGACAUGCGAGGAGGGUGGGUAGCACACAUGCACUCACGCCAGUUUACAGCAUCGUGUUGUAUAGUGGUGCCGUCGCAUCUCCCACCCAGCCACCCCUCCUUCCUCACGUGGACCACGGCGCCAUCGUCUCCCUGUGUGAUUUCGUGCCUUUACUCCACACACACACACACACAUAUACAUGACUCAGUGCGUGGCAUCAGAGGGUCCGGCCCCACCGCACCCCCCCUCCCCUCCACUCCCGACUCUCUGCGUGUGUGAGGGAGGAAGCCCAGCAGCAUCCACCUCACCCUCCCCAAUGCCGAGCCACUCCUGGUGGUGGUGGCAGGGCCCGGUGCCCGCGACGCAGCGAGGUCAGAGCAAUUCAGCGCUACUGAUGUUGUCGGUCAAGGCCCUGCGUGGCGCUGCGUCGACGCCACCUGCGCAGCGGGCAGAGUGCGAGGCAGGGGCCGUGCUCUCAGGCGACUGCAUCGGCGCCUUGCUGGACCGGCGUGUGUCGACGGCUGCCAUGGCCCCACACGAGGUGGGGCCUCUGUGACAGGGCCGUGGGUGGCAGCGUGGGGCGUUGGACCCCGCGCUGUGUGGCAGAGAAACGGAUGCACUUUGAAUGGAAACGGCGAUGCCAAGCCAAGGCGAGUGGGGUUCUGGUACGCGUGUCGCUCGCAUUCUCUUGUCUGGAGGUCGCACCUCCUCCUGCGCCUGUGCGGUAGGUGCGGACGUUUUGUUGAUGUGGACGUUGUUUCGUUGCCUCCUCUCCAUUUCUCUUCCCAGUCCUCCUCGCAGUCGGUACGGCGAGGGGCUCUUGUUGUUCUUUCUUCGAUCGCUUUUCGUUUUUUUCUUGCCAGCUCACUUUUUUGUUGUGCCGCCGGGUGAGGCAACUGAGGGGGAAAUAUGACGCACAGGCGGCGACGCUGAAAGGGCUACUCCGAGCGCCCUGGCCUGUGAAUCGCCGACUUCCUUCUUGGGCCCGUGGGGCAUGUGCCCAGACCACCCCUAGCCACCUCUGCUACCUCAACCACACACGCCACCGCUUCCGCCCAUCGAGCAGGAUACGGAACGCGGCCCACUCGGAUCGAACCAUACAGUCCACACCUAAGCUUAGGUGUAGCGCUUGCGGCGCAGCACGUAUGCGAGGGACGGACGAAGAGGGACAAAAAGCUCCCCGCUAGACGCCGGACGCUUAUUCGACCGACUGGACGGUUCGUCCUAGACGGCCACGGGGAUGUAGCCGUGGCGCAGCAGAGGGCCAGGUGGGCUGUGGUGUUUUGUACGCGUGUAUACGUGUUGACUUAUUCGUGUGUCGUAGAAUGGGCACACUGUUAUCUAAACG